rnacentral:rRNA from 1 species
UGGUGGAGUGAUUUGUCUGGUUAAUUCCGAUAACGAACGAGACCUUAACCUGCUAACUAGCCGCGGUAAGCCUUGCUUGCCGUUUGGCUUCUUAGAGGGACUGUUGAUGUUUAGUCAAUGGAAGUUUGAGGCAAUAACA